AGGAGCCUGAGGAGGGGGGUGUGGCCUCUGAUAUGAGUGCCAAAGAGGAAGAUGAGGAGAGGGGUGUGGCCUCACUCCAGGAAGCCAUGGAGCCAGAGAACAAGAGUGUCACUGCACAGAGAGCAGCGUCCCCGGUGCCCAGCUGUCAGUCUAUGAAGAGUGACCGGUCCAUGGAGCGUCCUGUUGGCUUUGCAGGUGGAGAGCCUGCUCCUUCUCUAAGUGUCACUGCACAGAGAGCAGCGUCCCUGGUGC